rnacentral:rRNA from 1 species
AUGAACCGCCAGACAAUAUAUGGCAAGAGCCGUUUGAACGUCGAGCGGUCAAAGUGUUUGCAAGAGAUCAUCUGUGGAUGCUCGGGAAAACCAGAGCAACAGAAUAGCCGGUCUUGCCGCUGCGAGUGCCCUGCAAUGACACAGGAGGCAAGAGAAAGGAGUCCCCGACUCAGUCCGUGGAAUCAUCCGAGAAAGUUGAGAGUUGGCCGUGCACCCCUGAUAGCCACCGUGCGUUGGCAGAGUUACUCCAUUCGAAGAAACAAUCAGGAGGGAACGUAUGAUUUCUACAAUCUUUAUUCAUGGGAGCUCGGAUUUGGUAUAAGAUAUGGCAAGAGCGAUCUGAAUGUCGAGCUGACGAAAGCUGAUAACUUCCUUUUGCAGGGGAGGCCUGAGCAGCAAAACAACCGGUCUUGCUGGUGCGAAUACCCUGCAAUGUUUUCGAGGAUGGGGCUUACUAGGUCGAGGAAAUUGAAAGAAAGAAGAAGUGAUAGAUAUGUUGCGCAGAUACCGAAGCGACACAUCCUCAAGAGAUGGACGAAAAAUGCUAGGGACAUCCUGGCCCAGCACCUUGCUCACUUCCAAAGAGACCAAGCCGUGAACCGAUCUUUCAUCUGUCGGAGCUUGAUCCUUUACCUAGAUGCCAUGCAUGGAGCUGGUUAG